CUCAAUAAUAAACCUAGUGAAAUUGAGAUGGCGGCGAAGACGCCGCCUAUGAAUUCUAAGACGAGAAGACCCCAUUGAGCUUUACUAUUAACUUGUAUUGUCAGAGCAAAGGGGAGGGGGACCCUACGGGUCUAGGGAAUACCCCGGAUCCGUUUUGCCCCCUGUCCCUAGCUUCAUAAUAAAAUUGUGGAGACUAUGUGGCAAAAGAAAAACAAGGGAUUUAAAAGAACGGGGGGGGGGAGGACCCUUAGGGGUCCCCCCCCCGGGACCCGAAGGGUCCGCCACGCCCCGUCCCGAUUUAUAUGAAAAACCACUCUUUUUAUUAAGAUUACUGUCUAACACCGUACAAGUAAGAUAGUUUGGUUGGGGCGACCGCCUUCGAAAAAGUAUCGAAGGCGCACAUAAGAUUAAUCAGGAGAAGGAUCCGAAGGAUCUUUUUAUUGGGAGUAAUGUCCCAAAAAAGGAGAUUAAUUUGACUGAGGGGGCAACAACCCGAACAGACGUCAAAGGAUAGACCGGGGGGGGAAUCCUACAGAUUCCUUCCCCCCCUUCUUUUGGCGGGUCAUAGUGAUCCGUUGUUAUAUUGUGGGAUAGACAACGAUCAAA
rnacentral:rRNA from 1 species